rnacentral:rRNA from 1 species
UACAGAGGAUGCAAGCGUUAUCCGGAAUGAUUGGGCGUAAAGCGUCUGUAGGCGGUCUGGUAGGUCCGUUGUGAAAACUCGAGGCUCAACCUCGAGACGCCGAUGGAAACCCUCAGACUAGAGUCCGGAAGAGGAGAGUGGAAUUCCUGGUGUAGCGGUGAAAUGCGCAGAUAUCAGGAAGAACACCCGUGGCUAAGGCGGCUCUCUAGUACGUGACUGACGCUGAGACGCGAAAGCGUGGGGAGCGAACAGG